rnacentral:misc_RNA from 1 species
GAUGAAGAACGUAGCGAAAUGCGAUAAGUAAUGUGAAUUGCAGAAUUCAGUGAAUCAUCGAAUCUUUGAACGCACAUUGCGCCCUCUGGUAUUCCGGGGGGCAUGCCUGUUCGAGCGUCAUUAUAACCACUCAAGCUCUCGCUUGGUAUUGGGGUUCGCGGUUCCGCGGCCCCUAAAAUCAGUGGCGGUGCCUGUCGGCUCUACGCGUAGUAAUACUCCUCGCGAUUGAGUCCGGUAGGUCUACUUGCCAGCAACCCCCAAUUUUUACAGGUUGACCUCGGAUCAGGUAGGGAUACCCGCUGAACUUAAGCAUAUCAAAAGCGGAGGA